UGCGAAGGUAAAAACGCAAGCUGAGCUGAGGAAUAAACGAAUACAAAACCAAUAGCAGCAGAGACAGUGACAUUUUUGAACGAUUAAGGCAUAUUUUUUGAGCGUGAGCGAUGAGCUUUUUAUUAUUUUUAUUCAUUUACUAUGCUAUUUUAAGUGUAAAUGCCAAUUUUCAGAACAAACUGGCGGCAUUAACACCGUGGUAGAACGACUUGAAUAUCCCGUGUGUGCGUAUUCCAGUGUAACUUUGCAAUUAUUAAAAAUAUGAAAAAGCUGUAGCGACGUUUGUUGUGGGAAAUUUAAUUCUCUACAAAAUCAGUCUCUUCGCAUUUCUCAUAUCUCGCUUAGUUUCUGAGAUAUAGUGAAAAUGAAAAAAACUUGCUAAUGACUGAAAAAAAUGUGGCGCACCAAGUAUUAAGGAUCAGGAUCAAAAAACCAAGAUUUGACGUAAGCAAAAACGAACAAACGACAGCAAUAAGAAAAGUGUUAGUGAGCUCUUUCCCGCUCCUGAUAUAUCAAACCAAGUUAGCACCUUCCUGGCAAAAGGGUAACUUUCAAACAACUUCCAUCUAGUUCCGCUUUUCUAAAACUCAAAACCAUCAAUACUGAAAAUGAAGAGCAAAUUCUUUUCCGUUUGAAAGUUGACAUUCGACCAGAAACGUAGAAAACAUCAGAGUCGAAACGAGUCUAACUUUGUUAGACCUGUUACCCCUAAGUCAGGUCCUAUACUCAUAUUCCAGAUCUUAUUGCACAGCUUAUCACUCUUAAACCAGAUGGAGAAAUCUGUGUUAAAACAUCAUUAGCGAGAACCACGUCCAGCUAUAGCUUGUGUAAGCAACUGGUUGCCCUAAUUCGAGAAGCAUGCAGAAGUAUACGUUUUUCAACGAGGGAUUUUAAUUGUUGGUCAACGUUAGAAAAUGUAUUUUCAAUUUCCCAUUACACCAGUUAUUGGGGGCGAUCAUCUUAUCAGUCAUUAGACCCAAAAUCAAUCAGGAAAAGAGGCUUGGAGACGAGCGGAUGUUAUGACUAUGGUUUCUCCUCUAUUAACAUGAAGGGAUCACAGAUAACCAUCUGCCUCUGCUGUAAGUUUUUAGGUGCCCAAAUAUUGGCUCCCCUUUCAAGUAGCCGGUAUGGUUAAUUCAUGUACCGAGUUUGAAUAAAUUUUAAGAAGCCAAUCAGUUAUUGAUAUGAUGUCAAAUUGCAAAAGGUCAAUACAACAAACACCAGCGAAUAUUUUCCAUGAUGCUAUUUGACAUCAAACAAACAAUGACAUAUUAAAUAAAGGAUCAAACUCAUACUUAAGACCUCUUUAUCCCUUAAGGCGUUCUUGGCAUGAAUUUCAUUUAAAGGACUGUUUAAGCAAUAGGUAAGGAAGCUUCAAGGAAGGGAUGUAAAUUUGACCCUCAAGUCUUUUAUCAAAAAUAAAUUAUAGUUAUAAUGGAAAUGGGGCCACAAAACAUUGCUAAAUAGAAACUUUAUUUAAAAUAAACAUUAUUUAUGUUCAAACAACCGUCCAUCAUCAACACUUACGCAAUAUCCUGGCUCUAAGGAUGGUUGGAUUCCAAAUGGACUUUCUCUGUCUGCGAAAAAUAUUAAAGAUUCUUCUCCGGAAGGGCUAUAAAUUUGACCCUCAAGUCUUUUAUUAAAAAUAAAUUAUAAUUAUAAUGGAAAUGGGGCCACAAAACAUUGCCACCUUUAUUUAAAGUAAACAUUAUUUAUGUUCAAACAAAAAUGUUACGGCAUAUUUUUAUGCUGAUGACACCCAGGUAUUAUAUUCAUUUGACCCCAGUACUUGGUGUACGGCUCAAAAAUUGAUCAAUGCGGAUUUAAAAGCACUAACAGAUUCUUCAGCACGUCAUGGAUUGAUAAUUAAUCCAAGUAAA